AGAAGCUGCUCCAAACUGAGUAAAAUCUUCUUGGCAGCUAUGGUCUAUGAGGGUCAUAAGACAGGGAUGAGUGAGACCACCUUUGACAAGUUGGCAAUAACUGUUUCCUGUCUCUGUACAAGCAAUAGUGAAAAUUUUCCAGGGUGGGAUACGCUUUUAAAAGUCGGAUGCAAGCUUGGUGAAUGCAGAAUACUUCUAUGUGAACCUGGAGUGAAGCAUAAAUUGCAAAAGUUACAGCUCAACUUCCCAAGGUCAGUUUCUUU